GACGAACGCUGGCGGCGUGCUUAACACAUGCAAGUCGAACGGAAAGGCCCUGCUUUUGUGGGGUGCUCGAGUGGCGAACGGGUGAGUAACACGUGAGUAACCUGCCCUUGACUUUGGGAUAACUUCAGGAAACUGGGGCUAAUACCGGAUAGGAGCUCCUGCUGCAUGGUGGGGGUUGGAAAGUUUCGGCGGUUGGGGAUGGACUCGCGGCUUAUCAGCUUGUUGGUGGGGUAGUGGCUUACCAAGGCUUUGACGGGUAGCCGGCCUGAGAGGGUGACCGGCCACAUUGGGACUGAGAUACGGCCCAGAGUCAUACGGGAGGCAGCAGUGGGGAAUAUUGCACAAUGGGCGGAAGCAGGAUGCAGCAACGCCGCGUGCGGGAUGACGGCCUUCGGGUUGUAAACCGCUUUCGCCUGUGACGAAGCGUGAGUGACGGUAAUGGGUAAAGAAGCACCGGCUAACUACGUG
rnacentral:rRNA from 1 species